UGCAGUCAUGUCAAAUUCAGAGGUACUUUUCCAUGGUACUUACUGGCCCAAAUGGCUGCUACAGUAAGUUUGUAGUUCGUGGGCCCCAGAUCUGCAUUUUUAGGUGCUGGAGAUAAAUAUGAUUCUACAAACAUAU